UCUUCAUACAGAGAGUAUUUUUCUGUUGGGGACUAAAAAAAUCUAAGGACUUUGGCUAAACUGAAGACCUUACCAUAAUCAUCCCAAUUAGAAUUUCCUUCCUGGACACACCCUUUAAUGGAAAUUUGACCUCUAACUACAAACACUACCACAAACCACCCAUUUGUCAAGAGUAACCUACUUUGCCAUUGUAGCAUACAGCAGUUGAUGGGAGCUUCACAGAAGUUCUUGAAAUCCGCAACCCUUGCCUGGCACACUCCAGUGCUGCAGGCUGACAUUAUCGAUGGCAGUGUCCCUGUCUUUUGCUCCCCCAGCCCUCCCACAGGCUGAGUAAGCCUCUAUUAUCUGGAAUACAGUGUGGCUUCUGUUUUCCUAAUUUAACCCUGACUUACUACAUUUAUAAUGUUUCUCUCUGCUCAUGUAGUCUUUGAUGAGUCAGAAGGUCUUUGCCAUGCUCACAAUGUGUGUACUGUGUCUUAUCUAUACGCACUCUCUGUUGGGCAAGGAGGUGCAUGGUUUCUCUCUUGUGUGAUUGCUUUGAUGGAAGUGAAAAUAUGAACUGUAACUAAAGCACUUUCCACACACUUCGCAUUUAUAUGGUUUUUCUGCAGUGUGAACUCUCUGAUGAGUGUGAAGAACAGAACUAUACCCAAAAUCCUUUCCACACACAUUGCAUUGUAUUGUUUCUCCCCUGUGUGGACUCUCUGGUGAAUGUGAAGGUGUGUACUUUGGCUGAAGCCCUUUCCACACUCACCACACCUAUAAGGUUUCUCCCCUGUGUGAAACCUCCAGUGGACUUGAAGAACGGAGCUUGAACUAAAGCACUUGCCACACUCACUGGAUUUGUAGGGCUUCUCUCCAGUGUGGACUCUCUGAUGGAUAAGAAGGUUGGAGCUCUGUUCAAAGCCCUUCCCACAAUCUUCACAUUUGUAGGGCUUUUUCCCUGUGUGUACUCCCUGAUGAAUACAAGGAAGUGACCUAAAUCCAAACGCUUUCCCACAUACGUGGCAUUUGUAGGGCAUCUCCCCUGUGUGGACUCGAUGAUGGUUGUGAAGGGAGGAGUUGCACCUGAAGCCCUUGCCACAUUCUUUACAUUUGUAGGGAUUGUCUCCUGAGGGGACUUUCUGACAUCUGGGAAGGUCUGAGCUCUGUUUGCAGCCUGUAGGCCAUUCAUGGAAUUCAUAGGGAGUCUCUCCUGAGUGGGUUUUACAAUGAACAAUAAGAUAUUGGCUCUGACUUAAGUUCUUUCCAUACUGGUCACAUUUAUAAGAUUUUUCUCCUAGAUGAGUGCUGUGAUGGACACGAGGAUCUGUAUCAUCUGCAAAGGCCACCCCACAGUUAUUACAUGUGAAAGGCUGUGGUAAAACAUGGACCGCAUGAUGUUGUUCAACUGUUGAUUUCAUACCCAAGUUUUUCCCACAGUUGGGGUGUCUACCAGGGUCCUCUCCUUUACAUUCUUGGGACUCAUGAUGAUCACGUGAGGUCCAAUUGAGGCUCUCAUCAUGCCGAGCAUGUCUGUACAAUUUCUCUUCCACGUAAAUUCCCUUAUAUCUUCCCUGAGAUUUCUGGGGCUCGGUCAUUAUGUUGGCUUUCCUCCAAGAUUCUGGAGUAAGAACCUGUGUCAGGCUUUGCCAUGCUGUGAUAUCUUGAUUUUUGAUAAUGGCAUUUACUACAUAGUUUUCAUUUUCAGAAAUCUGAAGAGACAUGCCUGCCCACUCUUCACAGAGGGAUACAUCUUCUAAAUGUGGGGAACACUGUUCUUGAAGGUUCAUGAUAUAAUCCUGACUCACACUUAAAUCCCGGAUCCUUUGUUUCCAAAUCUUCCAGCAAUGAAGCU
rnacentral:lncRNA from 10 species